rnacentral:rRNA from 1 species
ACAUGCCUACAACAUAGCGUUAAUGCAACAUAUCCCAUUAGAACUAUGCAGUUAAGCGCACUCAGGCUAGAGUAGUACUGGGAUGGGUGACUGUCGGGGAAGUCCUAGUGUUUUACAUGCC